AGUGAACGCUGGCGGUAGGCCUAACACAUGCAAGUCGAACGGCAGCACAGUAAGAGCUUGCUCUUACGGGUGGCGAGUGGCGGACGGGUGAGGAAUACAUCGGAAUCUACUUUUCGUGGGGGAUAACGUAGGGAAACUUACGCUAAUACCGCAUACGACCUACGGGUGAAAGCCGGGGAUCUUCGGACCUUGCGCGAUUGAAUGAGCCGAUGUCGGAUUAGCUAGUUGGCGGGGUAAAGGCCCACCAAGGCGACGAUCCGUAGCUGGUCUGAGAGGAUGAUCAGCCACACUGGAACUGAGACACGGUCCAGACUCCUACGGGAGGCAGCAGUGGGGAAUAUUGGACAAUGGGCGCAAGCCUGAUCCAGCCAUACCGCGUGGGUGAAGAAGGCCUUCGGGUUGUAAAGCCCUUUUGUUGGGAAAGAAAAGCAGCAGGUUAAUACCCCGCUGUUCUGACGGUACCCAAAGAAUAAGCACCGGCUAACUUCGUG
rnacentral:rRNA from 1 species